rnacentral:rRNA from 1 species
GACGGGGGAUGCAAGUGUUAUCCGGAAUCACUGGGCGUAAAGCGUCUGCAGGUGGUUUCCUAAGUCCACUGUUAAACCUUGAGGCUCAACCUCAAAUCUGCAUUGGAAACUAGGAGACUUGAGUAUAGUAGGGGUAGAGGGAAUUUCCAGUGGAGCGGUGAAAUGCGUAGACAUUGGAAAGAACACCGAUGGCGAAGGCACUCUACUGGGCUAUUACUGACACUCAGAGACGAAAGCUAGGGGAGCAAAUGGG